AAGUCGAGCGGAAAGGCCCUUUCGGGGGUACUCGAGCGGCGAACGGGUGAGUAACACGUGAGUAAUCUGCCCUUGGCUUCGGGAUAGCCACCGGAAACGGUGAUUAAUACCGGAUACGACACAUCACUGCAUGGUGCGUGUGUGGAAAGUUUUUUCGGCCAGGGAUGUGCUCGCGGCCUAUCAGCUUGUUGGUGGGGUAAUGGCCUACCAAGGCUUCGACGGGUAGCCGGCCUGAGAGGGUGACCGGCCACACUGGGACUGAGACACGGCCCAGACUCCUACGGGAGGCAGCAGUGGGGAAUAUUGGACAAUGGGCGGAAGCCUGAUCCAGCAACGCCGCGUGAGGGAUGACGGCCUUCGGGUUGUAAACCUCUUUCAGCACAGACGAAGCGCAAGUGACGGUAUGUGCAGAAGAAGGACCGGCCAACUACGUGCCAGCAGCCGCGGUAAUACGUAGGGUCCGAGCGUUGUCCGGAAUUAUUGGGCGUAAAGGGCUCGUAGGCGGUUUGUCGCGUCGGGAGUGAAAACACCGGGCUUAACUCGGUGCUUACUUUCGAUACGGGCAGACUAGAAGUAUUCAGGGGAGAACGGAAUUCCUGGUGUAGCGGUGAAAUGCGCAGAUAUCAGGAGGAACACCGGUGGCGAAGGCGGUUCUCUGGGAAUAUCCUGACGCUGAGGAGCGAAAGUGUGGGGAGCGAACAGG
rnacentral:rRNA from 1 species